CCCAUUCUCAGUAUUUUGCAACUUGCAGAAAUUCUGUCCUUUAUGUUGACUAUUCUUCAACUUUGCAGAAUUCUCUACUAAAUCAAUUUCUUUUUUCCUUCUUUCAACCCUAGAGAUGAUUUCAGGCAUAUAUUGUUUGUCUAGAUCCAUCAACAGGAACUCACUGUGCUUGUCAUCAUGCACAGCCUGGAGAAAGCAUAACCUCACAACUCUUUUUAGAUCAGUCUUGGCCUCCAUUAUCUUUGACAUUGUUGCAGGUGCUUCAAGCUUGUGGCCCUCAUAAAAAGUCCAUGAGAUUAUUUCUCAGGUGAGCAGCUAUUUUCUGGGUGAUAUCAGCAACCAUCCUCUCCUUUUGGGCUCAUGUCAAAUGAUCAAUCACCAUCCAUGUAUCAGUGAUAGAAGAUCUACAGCCCCUCUUCACAUGAACUUUUGGCAUCUUUAAGUCACAUUUUGACUCUUUAUCUCCUGUCUUCCAAAGGCACCUCUUGUGUGAUUCUCUGCAUUCUGUUCUUCCACUGACCUCAGGUAAACAAUCCCUUAAACUUAUAUUUAUUCUCCAAGUAUUAUUAUUGUUAUUCCUCAUCUGUAAUAUCUGAUCCUCCCAGAUUCUAAACAUUCUAUUCCCAGUCAUGAUAUGAAUGUUUUCCUUCUCCAAUCAGAGCAUAAGUUAGUGAUGCUUGUUAGCUGUUGGCAUGACAUUGAUUUGGCAAAUGCUGUGCCACAAUCCAUUUUCACCACUGGUAGUGCUUCUUGCUGAAACAUAUGAUGAGUCACUCCGAGUCAUUCUUGUUUGAUCUCUGGCUUCCUCAUCUUUAAGUCCAAGAUCAGAAUCUGGUCUCAUCAGUAUCAUUCAACCUCAUGUAUGAAUCAACUGAAAGAAGUACAUACCAUAAUUUAAGCUUAACAUAUUAAACAAUAUGAGUUAUUUUUCAGAAGGAAUAUGAUUCUCUGUAAAAAACUUGAUUAAAAUCCAAAAAGAUCAUCAACUAUGACAUGAGAAAAUGAGAUUUGUAUCAGAAUCAUGACACUAAAACCUCGUUAAGCAGGGUGAGCUGAUGGUUUCCCGGUCGAAGCUACGGAGAUGUACGUGCCAAGGACAGAAAGG
rnacentral:lncRNA from 1 species